GUGUGUGUAUGAUGUAGAAUGAAAGUAAACACUAGAACAAUAAUAAUGUAGCCACGUAAAUUUUUUUUUAAAAAAAUUUUACAAGAGCUGUGUUUCACAAUCAGUUCGAUCGGCUAGUUUCAAAUUCGACCGAUUUAAAUCGUCAGUUAUCUGGCGCGAUUGCUCUGACAACUGGAAUGAAUCUGUUCUUGAUUGGCCUUUGCUGUUCUUCAUCAUGAUUGGGCUACGAAUGCGUGGCCUGGGAGGAUGCCUUGGGCUUGGAGCAGUCAUGGCAAAAAUUCAAGAAAGGGAGACAAAUUCGGAGAACGGAAACUGACAUGUCCAGCCCCCCAGCAGCUUGGAAUUGCUUUUAGUCGAAUGAGAUUUUCCAACAACCCGGCGGUCAUUUCAGCCUGAGUUCCAUAGUUAUGAGGAGUUUGUUCGUAGACACUUGAUGUGCCUCCUCAUUAUUGGAUCGAUUAGCAUGCCUAUUACUUGACGACAAGGUGACAAGAGGAAAACAGAUGGGGUUGAAUCAUCAAUACAAUGUUCAAAUAGAGUGCCACCUAACUACUUCCCGGUCUAUCACAUGCUUACAGAGGGAUGAAAUAAUUUUAGAAAAGUCAAUUCCUACUAUCUGGCGAUAUUUUGGGUUUGCUCUUGCCUGAAUAUGUUGAUGACAUGGUAAGAGAAUUCCUCAAUAAAACUGUUCAUUAAAUGUUUAUUUGACAUAAUUCUUUGAUAGGACAGUGGUUGGACCCUUGCUUGGUGGAGCCAAAUAUCAUUAGCUCAUCUUUAUUCACUAGUUCAAUAUGCACAAUGUAAUUGGUUCUAUAAGUUCCAAGGACAUGGUUUGAGGAUGUGCUCCGCCAAUGCAUAGGGCUGUGGCAUAAGGUCACCUAGAAAUGCACUCAGUUGUAUCGCCUAUGGUUGAUUUUCAGUCAUAAUUUUAAUAUGGAAAGGCGACCACGGGAGCUAGAGAGGCUAGUAGGAAAAAAUCCAUAUCGCCCCACAAUGAAAUCAGGAAGCUGACACACUGUUUCUCAACCAUAAGAGGUCAAUGAACAAGAAGAUGAUUUGCCAGUAGAUACUCCAACUAAUGUGCCUCAGAGGAGCACUAGAUUGAACAAGGAUAAGAAAAAGAGGAGCAAGAAAAGUUUAAGGGAAGUACUUAUUGGGGGUGGAGCUGGUCUAGAUAGCUGCGGAAGCUUAAUCAGGUUUGUUAGGUUGCAACCAUCUAAAAUAAGGGGUCAGGAUUAGCUGUAUCACAACCAUAAUGUAUGGGAGAAUGUUUUAUGAUUGCUUAUAGAUGGUAGUAAAAUGAAUAGUAUAAAAUGGGUUAUGUGUAGUUCAAUUACAACGCUGCCAAUUUGUGAUCAUUCUAG